CACUCCUGCGGGAGGCAGCAGUGGGGAAUAUUGGACAAUGGGCGCAAGCCUGAUCCAGCCAUGCCGCGUGAGUGAUGAAGGCCCUAGGGUUGUAAAGCUCUUUCACCGGAGAAGAUAAUGACGGUAUCCGGAGAAGAAGCCCCGGCUAACUUCGUGCCAGCAGCCGCGGUAAUACGAAGGGGGCUAGCGUUGUUCGGAAUUACUGGGCGUAAAGCGCACGUAGGCGGAUCGAUCAGUCAGGGGUGAAAUCCCAGGGCUCAACCCUGGAACUGCCUUUGAUACUGUCGAUCUGGAGUAUGGAAGAGGUGAGUGGAAUUCCGAGUGUAGAGGUGAAAUUCGUAGAUAUUCGGAGGAACACCAGUGGCGAAGGCGGCUCACUGGUCCAUUACUGACGCUGAGGUGCGAAAGCGUGGGGAGCAAACAGGAUUAGAAACCCCGGUAGUCCCAUG
rnacentral:rRNA from 1 species